rnacentral:rRNA from 1 species
GAUGAGCGCUGGCGGCGUGCCUAAUACAUGCAAGUCGAGCGAACGGACGAGAAGCUUGCUUCUCUGAUGUUAGCGGCGGACGGGUGAGUAACACGUGGAUAACCUACCUAUAAGACUGGGAUAACUUCGGGAAACCGGAGCUAAUACCGGAUAAUAUUUUGAACCGCAUGGUUCAAAAGUGAAAGACGGUCUUGCUGUCACUUAUAGAUGGAUCCGCGCUGCAUUAGCUAGUUGGUAAGGUAACGGCUUACCAAGGCAACGAUGCAUAGCCGACCUGAGAGGGUGAUCGGCCACACUGGAACUGAGACACGGUCCAGACUCCUACGGGAGGCAGCAGUAGGGAAUCUUCCGCAAUGGGCGAAAGCCUGACGGAGCAACGCCGCGUGAGUGAUGAAGGUCUUCGGAUCGUAAAACUCUGUUAUUAGGGAAGAACAUAUGUGUAAGUAACUGUGCACAUCUUGACGGUACCUAAUCAGAAAGCCACGGCUAACUACGUG